UAUAACUCCCAAUUAAAAAGUCUCCACUUAUUCUCAAAUCUCUCCUACCCUAACCCUCCAAGCUUCUAUUUGUGUGUUCCAGCCGCGUCUGCUUCUACUCUACACAUCUUCUACAGUAUUUCUGGUGUCCGGCUAAAAUUGAAGUAUGACGUCGUGUUGGAGCUCGUGGGUUUUAAAAGAAGAGUGAAACAUUCACUACUGGAGAUGUUUUUAAGAAUUGUAUCCUUAAAAUGGAGGAAAGGGAGAGAGUCAAGAGACGUGUUUUUUCUUUGGACUCUGAGACUUCAAUUGUUUUAAAAGUGGCCAAGCAGGCUAUUGACCUGAACGUGUGGAUUGAGGAAGCACGGGUAAAAUUUUCGUCGAAGAAGUUAAAGGCAGAGACAUAUUCCUGUUGUCUGUUGAGAUAGUUUUGGCUUCAUCUCUUUCCUGCCUUGAAGGAACUAUACGAGAUUGUUCCAACUCGCAUAUUGAAAUGAGAAAACAGAAUCAACAAAAUAGUUUUAUAGGUGGAUUGUUAAAUGAAGAGCUAUCAACCUAGUCAUACGAUAAAGAAGGAAAGAGUAAACUAUUAUAUUAAGGAAAGAGUAAACUAUUAUAUUGGUUGUAAUCUUAUUUUUUCCCCUCUUUCCUGAGUUUAAGCAAUCAUGGAUAAAAAAGGGAAAGAUUAAGCUAUUAUAUUGGUUGUUCUUAUUUACUUUUAUCCAAAAUCAGUAAAAUUUUGCUUAUAAAAUUGUGCAAUUAGUUUAUUUCGAUUUACAUUCGAUCAGAUCUUUGUUUUAUUUUUUUCAAUUUUCUUGGUUGUGAAAGUGGUUGUUAUCAUAUGUUGAUCUCUUACUGCUUGCCUGUGGAUUUUGUUUAUUUAUAGCAUAACAUCAUGAAAAGGAAGAUGCUUUUUGAUGGGAAGCUAGGCAUUGCUGGUGGUUGAGGGACUCAAAAGGACUUUGAUUUGUUUGUGAUUGAAGCUGGCAGUGGUGAAGUUCCUUCCUCACAAUUUCCUAGUCUAGAACUCAUUUUUCGUUUAGUCUAUACACCGUUUGUAAUAAAAGUCUAGGAUACAUUUGUAACUAAGAUAUUAAGGUGCAUGACACAUUUUGUGGUUAAAUAUAGGAUAUUUAAAUUUAUGUAAUGACUAUUGAUAAUUAUUUUAUGUGCAAUGACAAUUACCUUUUAUACU